rnacentral:rRNA from 1 species
AGGUAAGCUACUAAGAGCGAAUGGUGGAUGCCUUGACUGGUAAAGGCGAUGAAGGACGUACUAGACUGCGAUAAGCUACGGGGAGCUGUCAAGAAGCUUUGAUCCGUAGAUUUCCGAAUGGGGCAACCCAAUGUAUAGAGAUAUACAUUACCUAUAUAGGAGCGAACGAGGGGAAUUGAAACAUCUUAGUACCCUCAGGAAAAGAAAUCAAUAGAGAUUGCGUCAGUAGCGGCGAGCGAAAGCGCAAGAGGGCAAACCCAGUGCUUGCACUGGGGGUUGUAGGACUGCAAUGUGCAAGAGGUAAGUUUAGCAGAACAUUCUGGAAAGUAUAACCAUAGAGGGUGAUAGUCCCGUAUGCGAAAAACAAACCUUAGCUAGCAGUAUCCUGAGUAGGGCGGGACACGAGGAAUCCUGUCUGAAUCCGGGUCGACCACGAUCCAACCCUAAAUACUAAUACCAGAUCGAUAGUGCACAAGUACCGUGAGGGAAAGGUGAAAAGAACUGAGGUGAUCAGAGUGAAAUAGAACCUGAAACCAUUUGCUUACAAUCAUUCAGAGCCCUAUGUAGCAAUACAGGGUGAUGGACUGCCUUUUGCAUAAUGAGCCUGCGAGUUGUGGUGUCUGGCAAGGUUAAGCAAACGCGAAGCCGUAGCGAAAGCGAGUCUGAAUAGGGCGCUUAGUCAGAUGCUGCAGACCCGAAACGAAGUGAUCUAUCCAUGAGCAAGUUGAAGCUAGUGUAAGAACUAGUGGAGGACUGAACCCAUAGGCGUUGAAAAGCCCCGGGAUGACUUGUGGAUAGGGGUGAAAGGCCAAUCAAACUUCGUGAUAGCUGGUUCUCUCCGAAAUAUAUUUAGGUAUAGCGUUGUGUCGUAAUAUAAGGGGGUAGAGCACUGAAUGGGCUAGGGCAUACACCAAUGUACCAAACCCUAUCAAACUCCGAAUACCUUAUAUGUAAUCACAGCAGUCAGGCGGCGAGUGAUAAAAUCCGUCGUCAAGAGGGAAACAACCCAGACUACCAGCUAAGGUCCCUAAAUCUUACUUAAGUGGAAAACGAUGUGAAGUUACUUAAACAACCAGGAGGUUGGCUUAGAAGCAGCCAUCCUUUAAAGAAAGCGUAAUAGCUCACUGGUCUAGUGAUUUUGCGCGGAAAAUAUAACGGGGCUAAAGUAAGUACCGAAGCUGUAGACUUGCACACAACUUAGAUUAUUUAAGUUUAGAAUAUGAGAAACUAAGUUAUAUGUUUAGUUAUAUUUUUACUGAUUUUUAUAGAGUAAAGAUAGAAAUAAAACUUAGUAAAAUCAGUAAAAAUAUUCUUAGACUAAAGUUAAGUAGUUUAAGUUGUGUGCAAGUGGUAGGAGAGCGUUCUAUUUGCGUCGAAGGUAUACCGGUAAGGAGUGCUGGAGCGAAUAGAAGUGAGCAUGCAGGCAUGAGUAGCGAUAAUUAAUGUGAGAAUCAUUAACGCCGUAAACCCAAGGUUUCCUACGCGAUGCUCGUCAUCGUAGGGUUAGUCGGGUCCUAAGUCGAGUCCGAAAGGGGUAGACGAUGGCAAAUUGGUUAAUAUUCCAAUACCAACAUUAGUGUGCGAUGGAAGGACGCUUAGGGCUAAGGGGGCUAGCGGAUGGAAGUGCUAGUCUAAGGUCGUAGGAGGUUAUACAGGCAAAUCCGUAUAACAAUACUCCGAGAACUGAAAGGCUUUUUGAAGUCUUCGGAUGGAUAGAAGAACCCCUGAUGCCGUCGAGCCAAGAAAAGUUUCUAAGUUUAGCUAAUGUUGCCCGUACCGUAAACCGACACAGGUGGGUGGGAUGAGUAUUCUAAGGCGCGUGGAAGAACUCUCUUUAAGGAACUCUGCAAAAUAGCACCGUAUCUUCGGUAUAAGGUGUGGUUAGCUUUGUAUUAGGAUUUACUCCGAAAGCAAGGAAACUUACAACAAAGAGUCCCUCCCGACUGUUUACCAAAAACACAGCACUCUGCUAACUCGUAAGAGGAUGUAUAGGGUGUGACGCCUGCCCGGUGCUCGAAGGUUAAUUGAUGGGGUUAGCAUUAGCGAAGCUCUUGAUCGAAGCCCGAGUAAACGGCGGCCGUAACUAUAACGGUCCUAAGGUAGCGAAAUUCCUUGUCGGUUAAAUACCGACCUGCAUGAAUGGCGUAACGAGAUGGGAGCUGUCUCAAAGAGGGAUCCAGUGAAAUUGUAGUGGAGGUGAAAAUUCCUCCUACCCGCGGCAAGACGGAAAGACCCCGUGGACCUUUACUACAGCUUGACACUGCUACUUGGAUAAGAAUGUGCAGGAUAGGUGGGAGGCUUUGAGUAUAUGACGCCAGUUGUAUAUGAGCCAUUGUUGAGAUACCACUCUUUCUUAUUUGGGUAGCUAACCAGCUUGAGUUAUCCUCAAGUGGGACAAUGUCUGGUGGGUAGUUUGACUGGGGCGGUCGCCUCCCAAAUAAUAACGGAGGCUUACAAAGGUUGGCUCAGAACGGUUGGAAAUCGUUCGUAGAGUAUAAAGGUAUAAGCCAGCUUAACUGCAAGACAUACAAGUCAAGCAGAGACGAAAGUCGGU